UGGGUAACCCGCCUCAAAGAGGGGAAUAGCCUCCCGAAAGGGAGAUUAAUACCGCAUAAUAUGUUUAGGUCGCAUGACUUUAACAUCAAAGGAUUUUCUUUUAGAAAUUUCCACUUUGAGAUGGACCCGCGGCGCAUUAGCUAGUUGGUGAGGUAACGGCUCACCAAGGCAACGAUGCGUAGCCGACCUGAGAGGGUGAUCGGCCACAUUGGAACUGAGACACGGUCCAGACUCCGUACGGGAGCAG
rnacentral:rRNA from 1 species